UCGCGCUCGGCCUGGUGGUGGCGGAGGCGGGGCCGCUGUGGGCGGUCUACGCGCUGGCGUUCGUGCUGGCGUGCGCGGA
rnacentral:tRNA from 1 species